rnacentral:rRNA from 1 species
UACGAAGGGAGCUAGCGUUGUUCGGAAUCACUGGGCGUAAAGCGCACGUAGGCGGAUUUGUCAGUCAGGGGUGAAAUCCCGGGGCUCAACCUCGGAACUGCCUUUGAUACAGCAAGUCUUGAGUUCGAGAGAGGUGGGUGGAAUUCCUAGUGUAGAGGUGAAAUUCGUAGAUAUUAGGAAGAACACCGGUGACGAAGGACGGCCCGACCUGGCGUC